CAUCUGCCAUGAUAGCUCAGUCGGGAGAGCGUUAGACUGAAGAUCUAAAUGUCCCCGGUUCGAUCCCGGGUCGUGGCAU
rnacentral:tRNA from 1 species